AGAGUCCAGCAAGGAGGGCUGGGAUUCACACUGAGCACNUGUGUCUGCCCAGGCUUGGCCUGUUUUCUAGGAUGGACUCCCUGAAAUCCAUCUCGGAAGGAGGCAGAGCAUCCCUGUCACUGGUGUCUGAUCUUCCCUGGGGACUUCAGUCCCUGGCAGUAGCAAUCUUUGCAUGUGUACUCAGAGAGCUGCCACAAUAUGAGUCAGACAUCAAUGAAUAUUGACCAUAGAUCAAGGCUAACAACAAGUAGCUUUGGAAAAAUAUGAACUCAAAAGUAUACUCUACGUAAA